rnacentral:snoRNA from 1 species
CCUUCAAUGAUGAGUAUAUCCAUGACUUUCGUUCUUCUGAGAUUACUGAAGCAAUUCUCUUUCUGAGAAGG